AGUGAACGCUGGCGGCGUGCUUAACACAUGCAAGUCGAACGAGAACGGGCUAUAGCUUGCUAUAGUUGUCAGCUAAGUGGCGCACGGGUGAGUAAUGUAUAGGUAAUAUGCCUCUUACUAAGGGAUAACAAAUGGAAACGUUUGCUAAUACCUUAUACUCCUUAUUAACAGAAGUUAAUAAGGGAAAGAUUUAUUGGUAAGAGAUUAGCCUGUAUUGUAUCAGUUAGUUGGUGGGGUAAUGGCUUACCAAGACUAUGACACAUAACUGGUUUGAGAGGAUGAUCAGUCACACUGGAACUGAGACACGGUCCAGACUCCUACGGGAGGCAGCAGUGGGGAAUAUUGCACAAUGGACGAAAGUCUGAUGCAGCAACGCCGCGUGGAGGAUGACACAUUCCGGUGCGUAAACUCCUUUUAUAUGAGAAGAUAAUGACGGUAUUAUAUGAAUAAGCACCGGCUAACUCUGUGCCAGCCGCCGCAGUAA
rnacentral:rRNA from 1 species